CGUCCUGAGUAGAGUGGCGCACGGUGAGUAACGCGUAGGUAAUCUACCUCUGCAUCUGGGAUAACACUUCGAAAGGGGUGCUAAUACCGGAUACACUUAUGGGUCGCAAGACGUAUAAGGAAAGGAGACUCUCCUUGGAAGGUUUCUGUGUAGAGAUGAGCCUGCGUCCCAUUAGCUAGUUGGCAGGGUAAUGGCCUACCAAGGCGACGAUGGGUAGCGGGUCUGAGAGGAUGAUCCGCCACACUGGAACUGAAACACGGACCAGACUCCUACGGGAGGCAGCAGUGAGGAAUAUUGGACAAUGGGCGCAAGCCUGAUCCAGCGACGCCGCGUGAGUGAUGAAGGCCUUUGGGUCGUAAAGCUCUGUCAGCAGGGAAGAACGGCCGUGUGGUUAAUACCCAUGCGGAUUGACGGUACCUGCAGAGGAAGCACCGGCUAACUCCGUGCCAGCAGCCGCGGUAA
rnacentral:rRNA from 1 species